AAGAGUGAUACCUUCAGCUCUGUUCUUCAAGUUUGUUCCUUCUUGAUGCUUCAAGAGAGAAUCUGUUCCAUCCCUCUCUCCUAGAUUGUGAUGGCUUGUGGCAGUCCUUGACAUUUUGACAUGUAACUAUAAUCUCUGCCUCCAUCUCCUCCUCUGUGUUCUGUGUGUCUUGACUUUAGGGACUGCUUUAAACCCAGGAGGGUCUCAAGGAUCUCUAAGGAUUCACGAUCCUUAAUUAUGUCUGCAAAGACUGUAUUUCCAGAUAAAUUCACAUUCAUAUACAUCUUUUAGGAGAACACUAUCCAACUCACUACAUACGCCCUAGAACUGUUAGAGGAAUUGUUUCUACCAUGUUGCACUUGGUUUUUAUUCCCUAAGCUUUCGUAGAAGGGUGCCAUAUUUCAUAGGUUACCUGUUAUUUUUCUGUUUGCACCUCCAUUCUGAUUUUUACUUUUCUUAAGACUAAUUAUUCAGAAUUUCUCAUCUUGCAUUUAUCUGUAUAUCUCGAUUCCUUUGUGAAACAUAUGUUAAGCAAAUAAACAUUGGAACUGAAAAGCAUCUGUCAGAUUUGGGGCUAUGCCUUUACCAAAGGAGCUCCAAAACAUAGUAAGCCAAGAAGAAGCCAGAUUGCAGUGCACUGAGGAGAGAAUGAACAGCUGAGAAGAAAAGAAAAUGUAUGUCUCUUUGUAGACCCUUGGCUCUGAAAAUGUGACCGGACAGUGGACUCUGGCUGAAGUCCAGUUGCCAUCAACAGGAAGGUGCUGAGAGGGAAGGGGAUGUUGGAGAGCAGAAGAAAACUCAAUUGAUGUCACUCAAGGAGGAGAGAAGGAAUGGAUCCAGAGGGAUGCCCAAAAGGAGUUGAGGGCAGGUGUGCACACAGACCAGAACUAAGCUGAACAUCUAUGGGAUAUAUUGUGCCAAAUGCCGAUGCCGCUAGAGAUGCAGACUUGGACUUGAUGCCAAGAAGCCCUUCCUGACUGGAGUUGUCAACAGUGGAACAGACCACAUGGGAUGCAGUGGGCUCGUGGUCCCUGGAGGCCACCAUGGAACUCUGAGACCGGACCCUAAAGCCUCACAUAUUUCUGCCUGCCCUGUUGUGCAUCUGUCAUCACCAAGAGAAGGAUGUGCCUGGCUGGCCCACUGAUGCUGGUGGAUGAGACAGGUAGAGCAGACCCACCCUUCCUGCUUGCAGACUCUCGAGCCAGCCCAGCUGAGGUCUCAGCUCAAGAGUCACCCCCUCAAGGAGACCUUCACUGGCCACCUGGAAUGAAGUCCCCACCAGCAUCCUCUCUGUCACCUCCCAGGCUUGACUUCCUCCACCACGCUCACCGCUGUCCUCCAGAAGGUAAGCCCACGGGGCUGACCUCCGCUCAUUCCUUGCUCUGACCUGGUGCCUGGAAGAUGCCUAGCACAGAGGAGACGCUCAGUGGCAGCUGUAUGAAUGCCAGGAACCAGUGUCUCCCCUGCUCGCUACUCCUGGCCUGGGAGUCGAGGGCCUGGGACCGGGACCCUCCCCCUGGGGUCUCCCCUGGGGUCCUACUCUUACUUCUGUAACCUGGCCUCUCCCUGUUUUUGUGAUUCUCCUAAGUUCAUUACCCUGCUAACAAAACAAAAAUGUUUAAACAGAAGUACAAAUGCAUCCUCCUGGGAAAUUCUGAAGGCAUUUUACACAUUUCAAGUAGAAACAUAGGUUUGAAUUGUAAAUUUUACUCUGCUCUGU